rnacentral:lncRNA from 1 species
CCACGUAAGAUUGUUAACUCACCUGCCCAGUGAGUAGGAUCGUGCUGUGUGGAUACCACACCAGCAAGUGACGCAAUGCGGACGACACAUUGGUGAUUUGUGUGAUGGUGAACGGACGACUCUCCUUUCACCAUAUUGACGGUGCAGAUUUGUUAAGGGAGAGUAUUUAAGCCUCACCCCUAUCAGCUCCAAAAAUCCUAGCAGACAAGGUAGACCGAAGAAGAAAGAAGCAGACACCAUAGGAGGUUGCAGGCGGCACCACCACACUCGAACCCUAAAUCGACCUCGAGUAAGCAAUUUUUCCCCUUCUUCCUCCGUCUUUCCUUUUUUGUUGUUGUUUUUUGCAUUCAUAAAUGAUUUUCAACUAGGAGCCUGAGCCUGAGAGUGGAGCAACCACGCUGGCUGCUAGGAAUCCAAUGCAACUCCAGUAA